AAAUCAAAUCAAAUCAAAUCAAAUCAAAGCAUUUAUUCGCGUUCAUGACGCAUAUCGAACACAAACAGUAGCAUACAUAAUCAUAAAAAAAAAAAAAACACAAAAAUAAAAUAAAAACAUCAAUAAAAAGAAAACACAAGAAUAAUAAGAAUAUGCGUCACAAGCACGCGAAAUGGCCCUCGCUCAGCAUUAUGCAGCGACCCUAUGCGAGACAGAGUCGCUGCGCUGGUUUUCAGCGAUGGCCAGCACUAACAUGUGACGUCAAUCGGUGCAUUUAAGCUAAACUAAAUAUAUAAAAUAUAAAAAGUGUUAUAUAUAUUUAUGGAUAUAAAAUACUACUAUAAAAACAAACUAAAUAUAAAUAGAGAAAAAUAACUACCUAGUUACGCAGCAUUCCGAACGAAUGCGACUGGAAGUGACACUCGCGCUUCGCAAAAUUAUAUUUUAUCUGUGGUCUAUGCCGCCGACCAUUACACAAACACAAAUAGUCAAUAUACAAACAAUUUGUGUGAGAAUUAGGUAAUGGCGACGGAGGCAUACCAAGAAUUAUUAUGCAAUGCCUCAUGUAGAUAUCAUGUAGACGAGUGUAUAAAUGUGUAUAGUGUUGAGAAAAGAAAAAUCGAACAUGAAUUUGUGUAAAGGAUGUAUUAAAUGUGAGUAUGUAGGUCGAUCGUAUUCCUGCUACCAGGAUGGCGUCGACGACAAUAUGGGACAAAUGACAGAGAGAUGAAGAAGAA